GAGCCCCUGCCCUUCUCUGGGCUCCUCCCAGUGCCUCUGGGGUCUGCUGGCCUUCCAGGUCCUUCCCUUCUGCUGCCCAGCAAGGCUGGAGCUUCCUGCAGCUCCCAGGGGACUCCCUGCUCAAGACCAUGGGCAAGAUGAAAAGCAGAAGGUGGGAAGACAACAUGGAAAUGACUACUUGCCCCCCAGGAAAAGCAUCCAUCAGGAAUAUGCCCAGCAAUGGACAGAUGGCAAUUCUUGAGUGAUUUUAGCUUUGGAUGCUGAACACAAAGUUCCUGCUGAAAGUUUCCUCCAAACCUUCCUGUGGAAACAGUUUGUUUAGAAUAAUUUUCACAGAAGAACAAUGUCAGUGAAAAAGUCCUCCUGGAAUAUUUGCCAUGAAUUCCCCCGAGCCUGUGCAUUAAUCCAGGUACCAUGUUCAUUUUUAUCAGGUUUAUUCUUCCCUAGAGGCUGAGCCAAAGAGCUUCCAAUUUACCCAGGUCAUUAGUGAUUUAUAUGAUAAUUGGAUCUAAGUUGAUUUUAACUAUUUGCUUUAAAUCUCCUGGGAUUUGUAUUCUUGGACAUUUUAAUGCCACUGGAAAUUUCACUGAUUAAGCAAAGACAAGUGUAUGUACUUAAUUAGUCCUGAAGCCAAUUAGUCCUUUGUCAGUCAAAUUAAUCUUGUCUCUGGACUUUAAAUGAGUUGUAAGAAUUUUGGGGUUUGACCUUUGUGGGCUCGAGGGUGGAGGUCAGUGCAUUCCCCCCGAGGGAUGCUCAGCUUUGUCCUCCUUUGUUUCUGCUGCCGUGGAAUGUCUGAAAUGCAGCCGUGGGUGACCAUCAAAAUGGAAAAAUGGAUGUGGGAAUGAUGGUGGAGCUGAUCUCCUGAGGGUGGAAGGCAGUAGGAACAUUGGAAUGCUCUGUUGGGUCUCCCUGCCCUCCUGGCAAUGACCAAGAGGGUCUUUGUAGUGCCAGGACAGACUGACAGGAUCCAUGGGUUGCCUGGGGUGGUCUGACUGCAGCCUCCAGGAUUAGGAGGCUCAUCCUAAUAAGGUUAGGCUCUGUAGGAACCUAAUCCUGAUAUGGAUUAGGCUCUACAAAUGAGCUAUUCAAGAAAUUGAAGACACACAAAGCUUUGCUCAACCUCAUCUGAGGUGUUGCUUGGGCCACUCCCCCUUCUGUUGAUCUAGGAUGUGUUUUAGAGUGUGGUGUGUCUUUUUAAUAAUUGUCUGACUUGUGGGGGAAUAGGAAAUUCUAAAAGCGUGGUGAACACUCUAAUCUUUAAAAAUGUGGCUCCACUUUAAAAAUGUGGUAACUUUUGAGCUGUGGAUGUGGGGGUGUUGUUUAGUUUUUGUUAUUUUUUUGGGGUACACUUAAUGAAAUAAAAGUUUGUAAACAAUAUUGGUACAUAUGAUUGGUUGUUUCCCUUGUGGGUGUAGAGGUAAAAGCUGUUCUUGUGUACAGGGUAGGAAAUGUGGUCAUCUUCCCAUGAAGAGUGCAGAUCAAUACCUUCUCCCAGAUUUUUUUUUUUCACUGGGGUUGGGAUGGAUAUCCCAGAAUCUCAGAAUGGGGAAGGCUGGGAGGGACCACUGGAGGUCACCCAGUCCAACACCCCUGCUCCAGCACCUACUCAGGAUUGUGUCCAGACAGCUUUUGAAUAUCUCCAGGGAAGGAGAUGUUCAAAAGAUCCCCCUUCUCUGGGGAGAUAUGUUCCCAGAUCCCUCCCAUCCCUGGGGGUUCUCCUGAGGAUGGUGAUGACCACCUGAACUUCUGCUCUUGGACUGUGGGACCCACAAGGGCUCUGGCAAGGGACUUCCUCUGAUUGAUUGAUCCCUAUCUGAGCUGGCAGAUGAAGGAGGAUAUUUACUGCCCAGCCGAGAACCCUUCAGAAAGAUGUUUUAUUGAGGCUGCUCAGAGAACAGGAAAUGCAAUAAAGCACCGAGAGACAAAAGAACAGAGGUAAAUACAGCCUGCUACCUGUUGGAAGAGAGGAAAACACACCCUGCUACCUGUUGGAAAAGGGGAAAAUAUACCCUGUUAAAAAAGAGGAAAAUACACCCUGCUACCUGUUGGAAGAGAGGAAAAUGCACCCUGCUGCCUGUUGGAAGAGAGGAAAAUACACACUGCUACCUGUUGGAAAAGAGGAAAAUGCACCCUGCUAGCUGUUGGAAAAAAGGAAAAUAUACCCUGCUGCCUGUUGGAAGAGAGGAAAAUGCACCCUGCUGCCUGUUGGAAAAGAGGAAAAUAAAGUCUGAUACCUGUUGGAAAAGAGGAAAAUACCCCCUCCUGCCUUGCAGGCCAGCCCAAGAGCUGGAACAGCCCACCCUGCCCACUCACACAGGUCACUCUCUGGCCAU